rnacentral:rRNA from 1 species
ACCUGCGGAAGGAUCAUUGUCGUGACCCUGACCAAAACAGACCGUGAACAUGUCAUCUAUUCUGCCGGUUGAUUGGGCUUGUACCUAUCUCUCGGUCUAGGCCACCGACCUUCUUUAGAAGGUACGGUGCCAAAAGAACCCACGGCGCUGUAUUGCGUCAAGGAAAACAAAUAUUGCCUUGCUUGGGGGCAAUGGCUGGCUUGCCGGACCAUACCCUUUGCAGCGAUGCUAUGGAAAUUCACAUGACUCUCGGCAACGGAUAUCUUGGCUCUUGCAUCGAUGAAGAACGUAGCAAAAUGCGAUACUUGGUGUGAAUUGCAGAAUCCCGUGAACCAUCGAGUUUUUGAACGCAAGUUGCGCCUGAGGCCUUUGGGCUGAGGGCACGUCUGCCUGGGCGUCACGUCAAAAGGCACUCCGCACCAAAAACAUGGUGGUCAGGAUGUGGUGUUUGGCCCCUCAUCCUAAAUCGGUGUGGUGGGCCAAAGAUGCGGCUGGUGGCAGUGCCGAUCACAGCACCUGGUGGAUGAUGCAAGUUAUUCUCAGUGUUAUGAUCUGGACAACUCCCGGUCAUGUGAGGGCCCUUUGAACCCAUGGUUUGUGGCGCUUGUCGCUUGCACCGCGACCCCAGGUCAGUCGGGACUACCCGCUGAAUUUAAGCAUAUCAAUAAGCGG